AUGUACACGGCUUUCCAGGUGGACGAACAUACGUUCAAGGUGUGUUCUAUCAUGGGCAUGUCGGAUUCAGAACCUGAAGACCCAGACAAGGGAAGGAACUACUUUGUGAAGGCAUCGAUAAGCGAAGGCGAAUACUACUGCCAAUGCUGCAAAUUCGAACGGGACGGGAUUGUGUGCUGUCACAUUCUAAAAGUAAUGGACUUGAACGCGGUGACACGAAUGCCCCGCCAUUUCAUAAGGCGGCGAUGGACUUGGGACGCUGACGACGCAUUGGCGCCGCAAACAUCAAACACAGUUUUGGCCGUGCAUGACGAGAGACCAGAGUCAACCAUGGAAGCCGUGAGGCACGUUGUGUUGACAAAGAACUAUGCUGAACUAAUUGAUGAAGCGUGCAAGAGUGAUGAGACAGCAAGGGUCGUAGAAAAACACAGGAAGGCCCUCAAAAGAGAGCUUGAUGAGAUCAAGAAGAGGAAUGCUGAGGAAGCCUUACAUAGGUUCCCCCGCACAUCAAGUGUUCCUUCGUCCAUAGGGCCAUCAUCUGAAAACUCAGAGGUAGGAUCUGGAACAGCAAGCACACAAACACAGGUUUUGAACCCGCCCCGUUCCAUCACAAAAGGGGGUCCAAAAGAGAUAAGAUACAAAUCGGGAUUGGAGAUUCAAGCAAAACACAAGAAACCAAAGAAAGGGACGGGCAAUCCGUAA
rnacentral:rRNA from 1 species